UCCCUGGAGGAUUAACGGUUAGGCCUCGGAGCUCUCACCAGCACGCCUCAGGUUCGAUUCUUGGCCAGGGAA